rnacentral:lncRNA from 1 species
CACUAUUUAUUUUGAUAUAAUUUUUUCAAGUAUAUGAACAAAUAUUUUAUUUAUUAUAUUAGAUAGAAUCUUUAUAAUGAUUCUAGUAAAUCAAUUUUUUAAAAAAACUUCUUUAUUAUAAAUAAAAAUUAUUUAUUUUAAAAUAUCACUUAUAAUCAUAUGCAUGUUGUCAUAUUACAUAUUGUCUUGCUUGAGAAUGCACUGUGCACCUAGUUGUGGAAAUUGAGGUUGCAUUUCACAAAUAUCCAAAAAAUCUUGAUAGGUUUCAUCCAUAUGAGAAGAAUAUAAUCCAAAUUUCGAUUCAAAAGUACUAAAAAAUACUCUUCUUAAUAGCCUCAAU